AUCUGAUGCAUGGUCAUUAUAAUAGUAUUGGUGAAAACAAAGGUGUAUGUGUGACGUGUACACCUUUGUUUUCACCAAUACUAUUAUAAUGACCAUGU
rnacentral:pre_miRNA from 1 species